rnacentral:rRNA from 1 species
UACAGAGGUCUCAAGCGUUGUUCGGAUUCAUUGGGCGUAAAGGGUGCGUAGGCGGCGCGGUAAGUCGGGGUGUGAAAUCUCGGAGCUUAACUCCGAAACUGCAUUCGAUACUGCGGUGCUUGAGGACUGGAGAGGAGACUGGAAUUCAUGGUGUAGCAGUGAAAUGCGUAGAGAUCAUGAGGAAGACCAGUGGCGAAGGCGGGUCUCUGGACAGUUCCUGACACUGAGACACGAAGGCCAGGGGAGCAAACGGG